rnacentral:lncRNA from 1 species
AUGGUCUCUACUUUUGAAGAGUUUAAGUUUAGCAACAUAUGCAAAAUAAUGCUUGGUGUGACACAGACCAUAUCCUCCAAGAGUGGGAGAGCAGAUUGCUGACAGAAGUACAAAGUGGGCUGGAUUCACAAUGCUGGCAAUGUUCAUACACUGGUGUCAAGGUCCCACUGGGGAAAGAAUGGACAUGGAGACUUGAAGAUUUCCUGGGUGGAUGCUUUAAGAAGAAAGUAUUUGCCAAUUCCUGA